CUGGCCAAGUUCUAGACGAUACUUUUGAACUUUCAAAUUAGUUCGAGUUUUAUAACUAUACUUAGUAGACUAAAAUUGUGAAGGAAAAUGAAUUUUAAGAUUGAAAAUUUUCAAAACUACAUAAACAAAAUAUGAAAGAAACAAAAAAGAGAGGGGGAGAGACUAAAAUGGACUUCAAUGAAAACUAUAGAAAUCACAUAUAUAUAUAUAAAAAAAAACAUAGGGACCAAAAUAGAAAUAAUAAAAUAUUAACAGACCAAAAUAUUUAAAAAAUAUAUGACAAAAACAAGGGAUCAAAAUAGACUAAAUUUAAUAUCGGAUUGGGCAAAUAUGAAAAGGAU
rnacentral:lncRNA from 1 species